AAUAAGCACCGGCUAACUACGUGCCAGCAGCCGCGGUAAUACGUAGGGUGCAAGCGUUAAUCGGAAUUACUGGGCGUAAAGCGUGCGCAGGCGGUUUUGUAAGACAGNNGUGAAAUCCCCGGGCUCAACCUGGGAACUGCGCUUGUGACUGCAUNGCUCGAGUACGGCAGAGGGGGAUGGAAUUCCNCGUGUAGCAGUGAAAUGCGUAGAUAUGCGGAGGAACACCGAUGGCGAAGGCAAUCCCCUGGGCCUGUACUGACGCUCAUGCACGAAAGCGUGGGGAGCAAACAGGAUUAGAUACCCUGGUAGUCCACGCCCUAAACGAUGUCAACUGGNUGUUGGGUGUUUACU
rnacentral:rRNA from 1 species